rnacentral:misc_RNA from 1 species
UUUCCGUAGGUGAACCUGCGGAAGGAUCAUUACUGAGUGAGGGCCCCUCGGGGUCCAACCUCCCACCCGUGUUUAACGAACCUUGUUGCUUCGGCGGGCCCGCCUCACGGCCGCCGGGGGGCAUCUGCCCCCGGGCCCGCGCCCGCCGAAGCCACCUGUGAACGCUGUCUGAAGUAUGCAGUCUGAAACAAUUAUUAAAUUAAUUAAAACUUUCAACAACGGAUCUCUUGGUUCCG